rnacentral:lncRNA from 1 species
ACAGUGUAUUUUUUAAACCAGUCAAGCAGGAAAUUUCAAACCUCCCCAUUGGCCAUAACCCGAGGAGGCAGAGAGAGCUGCUAAAGAGGUUCUCUAUCCUCCUUCACCAUUUGUAACCGAGGAAGAACAGGAGAUCUUCAAAAGCCCUGGGUACCUGAGUCUGCGGGGAAAUAUUGAGAAAGUGAGUGAAUUUAUAUCUAAUUGUAUAUCUAGUACAAUAUCCUGAUUUACUUAACCUAGGCAAUUGUAAGCUAUUUUAAUUGUGUUUCUCAAUCACAGUCCUAGAGAACCCUAACACUCUUAUCUGAGAUACACAUUUAGGUGAAUUAACCUUGAUUGGGAAUACAUAUAAAAUAUUCAGUGUUGGGGAUACCUGGACCAGGACUGAGAAACACUCAUCUUUGACACUGGGCUGUUAUUUUCCAUUUGGAAGUGGCCAGGAUGACUUGGGCCCAGUAUCCCCUCCUGGACCUUUCUUUGAGGUCUGGAACAAAACUUCUGGAGGUAACUUUGUGGAGAGAAGAGGCGUUGAUGGACUUGUACGUCGGGAUAAGGUGGAGAUCGUAGAGCGCCAGAUCCUUGAAGCAGUGCUGACAAUUAUCAGAGUGUCUGAGGAUGAUGAUAAUAUUCUCAUCCUGUUGGACAGUGAACUAAAAGACUACACUGUACCGAGCCAUGACAAUAUACAUGACUUGGUACAGCAGCUGCCAAUUACAUGAAAAGUCCAGCAUAUUUAUCAUCUUGUGCUGAAACUGGAGGCCGAAAAAUCCCUGGAUACAGCCGAGGCAUCCCUGGACCUGAUCGAGGCCACAGAAGCCACAGAAUCCCUAGAUGUUGAAAACACUUGAGGCUUAAAAUGUGUUUGUGUCAUGAUCAUUGACUUUUAUUUUGAUUUUGAUUAGGUUUUGUUUUCUGACUGUUUUCUAUUUCUAGAUGUUCUAUGUACUUAACAUAUUAUUAAAGACUGUUCGAUUAUCAUGUUGUGUGCUUCUUUGCAUUCACCCCAUUACAUUACAGUUUGUUUGUUUUUAUGGGGUUUUAGAAUGGGGUUUUUAAAUUUUUAUGCAUGAGGUGUUCUCUGAUUGUUUCAGGAAAAGAUUCGAAGCAUCAGAAAUGUUCAAACAGUGGCAGGUCAAAAACCCACGUUUCCAGCUCUGUUGUUUUAUCAACUAAGCACAAAUAAAAAGCCUGACAAUAC